UUGUCUUUCUCUUUCUGACUUCACUCAGUAUGAGAGUCUCUAGUCCCUCCAUGUUGCUGCAAAUGGCAUUUUUCCUUACUAAUUUAAUCUAUUUAUGUAUCAUUUCCUUGCAUUUGUAAAUAGAAACAAUGAAGGAUUUUUUUUUUUAUAAAUAGGUUAUAGAGGACAGAAAUAAAAGCAGGACUUUUCCAAAUAUAUCUUAUUUAAUAAUUUUAGCUAGAGGCAUAUUCACGUACCAAAACAUGUAACUCAAUUAAACAUGUAAAGUUUCAAAGGUGAGACACAAAAACGAAAAACCAACUCUAAUUAUUGAAACAAACUUGACAGAAUUAUAGGAUGGGAAACAAGCUAGAAAAGUAAAUGGAACUUUUCUUAGCCUUGCAUUAAACUUUGUGGAACAUUGUAAAUCAGUGUUUAGUUCUAAAUUCCAUAGACUUCAGUAAGGUAAAGGAGUUGGGUAAGUUCAAAGAAAGGUCACUAAAUUAGUUAAGGAGGUGGUGGGUCCUGCUACUGGAUUCCAUCUGAAGAGUCAGCUUUAAAUGCAAAUUAAAUCUAAAAAGUUUAUUUCAAAGUAAUAGUAAUUUGAACAUAAUUUCCCCAGAAUCCAAAACAACUAUUAUUUUCUUUUCAACCAAAUUCAAAGCUGAUGCCAUGCAUAUGUUAAUUAUAAUAUGCAUUGUUUAUGUGAAACAAGUUAUCUUCUUAUAGCAAUUUGAUAAGCUGAUUGCCAUAUCUCUAAUGGGCAUACAGUUUGGAUAAACCCUGUUUGAUGCCAGUUUGUAACUUUACUCUCACUUUGUUCUCUGAGAUGAAGAAAAGAGCUGUCUCCUUUUAUUUGCGACCUGUGGUCUGACAUUAUAAAGUAGAAUGAAAUGAAGGGCAUGCAUAUUUCAAUUUAGGUGCUUCCUGUUAUAGCAGCAGAAAAAUCCAACCUAAUUUGCUUUACUUUUUUUUUUAACUUAUUAUCUCACAUAACAGAUCCACCCAAGGUAGCGAACCUCCAGAGUUGGUUAGUUGAUCAGGCCAGCGGCAUCACCAGUGAUCAUAAAGGCAGGGAGAGAGAACUCUCUCUUUUCUUGUGCUGUCAGAAGAGCAACUCGACUUUCCCAGAAAGUUCCUGUUGGACUCAUUUCCUUCCCAAGUUAGGAGGACCCUGUUACUACAUCAGUAGCUCAGACAGACCAUGAUUUCACUCUUUGUGAGGUGAACCUGCCUCCUCUGAUGUACAUGGGAAGAAAAGGAGCAAAAUCAUUUUUUUUUCUUUAGAAAGAAUUGUUAGUAUGGGAGAGAACAAUUUCAAGAUAAGGAAAUCAUAGUAUCUGGUACUAUUAGAUUGUUUGCAUUUUGAAUAAUUGCCUCAUAAAUUAUGAUAGAUUCUUGAUGAGAAGCAUCCAUUCAAUGUUUAGUUUUUUUUUUAACACUGAGUAUUCAGUGCCAGCCAUCACCACCCCCUCCCUAAAACAGACAAACAUGCAAAGAAGCAGGAGGUUUAGUUUUUUGUUUUUAGAACUUAAAAUAUUGAUUCAUAAUUUUAUGAGGAAAAAUGUAAUUUUCAGGGAAAUAUUUGAAAAGAAAGAUAUAUAAUGAGGAAUGACUAGCCUUAUACCAUGUAAAAACUGUUAUACAUCUAUUUUAAUAAGUACUUUUUUGGGUGUUCAUUGAUUCAUCAUAGUUCAUAAACACCAGUAAAACAGAGUCCAGAUUUCUGAAAAAUUAAGGAUUAGUUUAAUGUAGAGUUUCAAGUUGUUAGUUUUUGCCCAAACUCAUUCCUUUUAACAAAAUGAAUCACUGGUAAAUAAACAUUUAAACAUUAAAAGAAUGUGCAAAUUAAUUAAUCAGGUUUAUUAUGAUUUUCAUUACUGUCAUCAUCACUGAUUAUGUUUGAGAAUUAUGUUUGAGAAUUAUGUUUGAGAAUAAAAAGCCUUUCUAAUCCCUGAUGGAUUAGUGAUGGGAAUGUACAAUAUUAAAACUAUUUUGGGGAGUUCCCGUCAUGGCUCAGCAGUAAAGGCGUAGGUCACAGGUGGGGCUCGGGUCUCACAUUGCUGUGGCUGUGCUGUAGGCCGGCUGCUGCAGCUCUGAUUCAACCUCGAGCCUGGGAACUUCUGUAUGCUGCAGGUGUGGCCCUAAAAAGAAAGAAAAAUAAUGUAGCCAUGGUUUAGAUAACUUCUUAUUGAGUGGCCUCUUCAUUCUUAUUUUAGCGACUGACUAGAUUCCUCUGAAAGGUUUUUUCUUUAAAAUCAGUUUCCAAAUUCUGAACUCUAGAGUCUGACGGGUGUAUUUUUCACACAGGUGAUCUUUAGCGUCUCUAGAUGGAUGUUUAAAACAUUUUGGUUUCACACAUUUAUAUCGCUUGUGCAACCUAUGGAAUAAACAUGUGACCAAAUUAUGGAUGCUAGCAAUGAGUAGUGAGGGCUGUAUGCUCCAACAUUCUCAGAACGGCACUACAACAUUGAAAGACGAUUCGUUUGACAGGCACAUCAUGUAGGAAGCGAUGUCAUGACAAAGGGAGGAGCUCCUUCUCCCACUUGGGGAAAAUGAUUACUAAUGUGACCUUUCAGCCUUCGUAGAAGUGAGUCGUAGUCUGUGAGGAUUGAAAGGACUUCAGACACCUUCUAGUGCUACAAACUUCAACCUACUUGCUGUUCAACAAAAGUCUGUGCAUCGGAUGUCGCUUGUUUGUUCUCGAGAACGUGAUGAUUUUUCCAUAAAAACAAACUUGUGUCUCAUGCAUCAAGAGCAAAGACUAGAACUUCAGUAGUGAUAACUACUUUCUUCCAGGAACAAAAUUAACCACCUUUUCCUUGGGAUAGAAUCCCUUCUUGACGCUUCCCUGACACAGCAGGAGUUGAGCAGGAUUGUUUCUCCUGCUUUCAGUGAAGAAGUUCAGGCUUGGGAUUACCUGCAGGAUUGAGGGUUUGGUGACAGUUGCUACAUUGUUGAACCUGAGCUUUCCUUCUGUGGAAUUAAUAUUGCAGAACAUUUGAAACAGACAAUAUUUAGAGCAGCACAUUUUAGUUAUUCAUAAAUGUAUAGACCAUACAGCAUUUAGGUCAUAAUUGGUUCAUUCUCUUUAAAAAUACAUCGCACUGUUAGCAAAUUAUCUAUCAGAUUUAGAUGAACAGGUUUUGAUACUGUUCUCUUUACCUCUGUUUCAGUAUGGUCUUGAUAUAGAAUUACUUUGUCAUUCCUGUUAUCCUAUAAUCUACGGUGAACCUUAUUUUAGCUCUCCCAGAUUAACACUUGUCACAACUAGUUAAUUCUGAGUAAAUUAUGGUUUUUCUCUUUGUCAAA